rnacentral:rRNA from 1 species
UACGUAGGGGGCAAGCGUUGUCCGGAAUCAUUGGGCGUAAAGCGCGCGUAGGCGGCCCGGUAAGUCCGUUGUGAAAGUCAAAGGCUCAACCUUUGAAUGCCGACGGAUACUGCCGGGCUAGAGUACGGAAGAGGCGAGUGGAAUUCCUGGUGUAGCGGUGAAAUGCGCAGAUAUCAGGAGGAACACCGGUGGCGAAGGCGGGUCUCUGGGCCGAUACUGACGCUGAGGAGCGAAAGCGUGGGGAGCGAACAGG